AGAACCAAGCAUUUUCUGUUGUGCGCAUGUGUCGAAUGAAUAUCGAGGUUACUAUUAAGUGCGCUUGCAGUGUGCUUCUCGUCUUGUUCCUUGUUUUCACGCACGAGACACCGAAACCAACAGCUGGCCCUGCUGUCAACUUCAACCCCGUGAGGUCUCGGAUCGUGCUGAACACUACAAAGCUGGACUACGGGUAUUGCCACUCCUCCCCUGCUGAGAUCGACGAGGGCACUAAAUCACUUCUCGACAUUCUCAACCGUAUUACAGUAUCACCUUACUUUCGCUAUUUCAAGGUCAACAGCGCAAAGCCGUGCCCUUACUGGGCAGUAAGCCUUUUGUGCACCAGCGCCGAAAACACCUGUGAUGUGUGCAAAUGUGACGAAAAUUCCAUCCCGGAGGCCCUACGCGCCGAUGAGGAUAUGAGCGAGCUCAACACCCCCGAUGGCAGCGUUGCGAAGACAGUGCUGCAACCUGUGAACCUUGACGACUGGGGAGAUUGGCUGAAAGCAGACGACGGGGCGGAGUACGUGGACCUGGCAUCCAAUCCCGAGGGCAACACAGGAUACUCUGGCCCUCUUGCAGCGCAGGUGUGGCGCGCCAUCUAUGCCGAAAACUGCUUGUCGUCGGACAAAGACGGAACAUGUCAGGAGUUGUCCAUCCUGCGGACGCUGUUGAGCGGACUGCACAUGUCCAUCAACAUCCAUGUCUGCACAAGCUUUUACAAGGACCCCGAGCUUUCUUCACCGCAACGCAAUGCUGGCAUUUACAACAACCCAAAUAUUUCUUUCUUUCCAAACUGCCAGAUGUACAACAAGCGUAUCGCACCGUUUCCUGACUUUGUGGGCAACUUGUAUAUUCUUUAUCAGUUCACCCUUCGUGCACUCGCCAAGUCAAGGUCGUUCUUCACAAAUGAUGUCAGCAUCUUCAACACGGGUGCUAGAGGUGAGGCAACGCUUACUGACCUGCAGCUUCAUGACAACAUCAAAGAGCUGUUCAACUCACGCCUUAUAUGCUCUCCCACCUUUGAUGAGGGGGCGUUUCUUGAGUCUGAGAAGGGUCGGUCCCUGAUCCCCCAGUUUAAAGCGAUGAUGCUGAACGUGACCCGCCUGAUGGACUGCGUGACGUGUGAGAAGUGCCGCAUUUGGGGCAAAUUGGAGACUAAAGGCAUUGCAGUAGCAAUGAAGGUCAUAAUGAACCCGGAGAAUGAGCGGAUAACUUUGGAUAGAUCGGAAAUGGUGACAUUGGUGAACCUUGCACGCCAGUUGGCGUUUUCGGUUCGCAACGCGCAGCGCCUGGGCUCAGUUUGCAGCGAAGAUGAUUGCGCGAGAGGGUUGUCAAGGCCGCACCCAUCCCAAUAGGCUCUUUAGCCAUGAGAGUGUCAGACUAUUUGCCUUUUUGCUUGCCAGGCAUCUGCAAAUCAGAUUUGCUUGGCUCUGGUGCACGUGUAACCUGUGUCGUGCGACUGCGUGGUGCUUGAACUUUCUUCGCUGAAGGCCUCCGCUAACCUUGCAGGGUGGGCUGUAAGUAGUUUGGGCUUUUUUUCCCUUGAGCUCAAAAAUGAGCCUCUCACGAUAG
rnacentral:misc_RNA from 1 species